rnacentral:lncRNA from 12 species
UUAUUGCACUUGUGGGCCUUAACCAAGGCUGAGCUCACCUCCACUCAGAUGGGAGUUUGAGACAAGCUUUGCUCAUGCUCAUGCACCAUUACAGCCUGUCUGCCUUGGUGGCAAUGUCCUACGAGUUUGAGACAAGCUUUGCUCAUGCUCAUGCGCCAUUACAGCCUGUCUGCCUCGGUGGCAAUGUCCCAUGACUGAUGCUGAGAGCAGAUUCAGCCAGAGACUCGACAGACAGCCCAGGUGCUGCACACUGCAGGCACCAGAAAUUCUCCAAGUGUGGCCACGUACAGAGGUAGAAGAUUUUGGCGAUAUUAUGAGCCUGUUCCUGUGAUCUAGGACUGCAACCCUCUGCAACCACUGACGAAGCAGCAAGUCCAGGGGACUCUUCCAUUCACAAUAAAACAUUUAUUCUCAAGAAUUUGCUUUUUAUAAAGUGAGGAGACAGGAGACCC